rnacentral:rRNA from 1 species
CCUACGGGAGGCAGCAGUGAGGAAUAUUGGUCAAUGGGCGGGAGCCUGAACCAGCCAAGCCGCGUGAGGGACGAAGGUCCUAUGGAUUGUAAACCUCUUUUGUCGGGGAACAAAGACGUCCACGGGUCGGCGGAUGAGUGUACCCGAAGAAAAAGCAUCGGCUAACUCCGUGCCAGCAGCCGCGGUAAUAGGGAGGAUGCGAGCGUUAUCGGGAUUUAUUGGGUUUAAAGGGUGCGGAGGCGGACAGUUAAGUCAGCGGUAAAAAGGCGGGGCUCAACGGCGUACAGCCGUUGAAACUGGCAGUCGUGAGUGGGCGAGAGGUGUGCGGAAGGCGAGGUGUAGCGGGGAAAUGCAUAGAUA